rnacentral:lncRNA from 1 species
AGGUAUCAUUAUUAGAUAGUCAUUUCGAUUAGUAUAAGAAGAGUUCCUAUACUAUUGGCUUAGUAUUCGAACCUAUGGAGUCACAUACAAAGUCAAACGAUAUAGGAAAGAAUUGAUCGAAUACUUAUAUGUUCAAUUUGAAAGUAUGAAAUUUGAUUGAAUAUAUAGAUUAACUUAAUUAAGAAUUAAAUUAUAUAUCAUAUAGAAUUAAACACUAACUACGUCCAGCUAGCACUACACAUAAGUCGCAGAUUUAAUUUCGGAGAUGAAUUUGAUCAAAUCUAUAAUUCAAGAAAUUAUGAGAGAUUAGAUUCGAGCUCUAAUUACUUUAGUUUAGAUCUAAAUUGGUUAGACUUGAUUUUAUUAAGGCUAAAUUAGAUUAAUUAUCUAAGUUAGAUUUGGACCUAAAUCUUAAAUAGAUUAGGAUUAGCAGUCUUUUCGAAGUUAGUUCGAAUCGGAUUCAAAUUAGAUUUGAAUUAAAUCCAAAUCUAAACCAAAUUAGUUUUAGUGCACUUAGCCAUAUUUUUUUGAUAUUCUCUUACCUAUUUAGCAGACCAAGAUGGAGGAGAGGGCAUUGAAAAUUAGCCCCUCCCCUUGGGCAUGCAGCAUAAGGGACAGAGGCACCAAUUAAGGGAGAGAGGUGCAAGUUGGCAUCUCUCCUACUUUCCUUAGGAAUUUUUGUGAUUGAGAAAGUUUGUAUUUGAUUCAAACUAGAAGGGUCCUAUUCCUAAUCCAUGAAGGUAUUUGAUUUGAUCUAGGACUUCUUAUCUAUUUAAAGAGG